rnacentral:ncRNA from 1 species
CGCCGGGGACGACCCCGACACUUCCCAAUAAUCAGGCGGGACGGCCCGC